rnacentral:lncRNA from 1 species
GUGCGAUGUUGGCUUGAAAGUCUGAGGUCCAAAGAUAGGUAUCUCUGUUUAUUCAAUAGAAAAGAUAUUAGUUUAAAGAAAUUAGAUUACCUCCCAAUAGUGCUAAGUUUAAUAUCUUCAGCCAGACAAAAUAAGCAAAUUAAACGACAUAAGUUGGUUUAUAGAGAACCAUAGCAUCAUCAACAGAUUCUUUGGACAGUUCCAAG